AAGUCGUAACAAGGUUUCCGUAGGUGAACCUGCGGAAGGAUCAUUAAUGAAUAACUGGCGUCUUCGGACCCAAACUCUCAUUAUCCUUCUACCUGUGAACUGUAAUAGCGUGUUCUUCAUUACGUGUCUCAUUUUAAUGUGACAUGUCUUGAAAACUGCUAAUCAAAUUUAUAAACAACGUCAAAAGAAUGUGAUUUUAUAAUCAAAUUGUGUAAUGCAAUAUGAAAACAAAAUACAACUUUUAGCAACGGAUCUCUUGGCUCUC
rnacentral:misc_RNA from 1 species